rnacentral:rRNA from 1 species
AAAUUGAAGAGUUUGAUCAUGGCUCAGAUUGAACGCUGGCGGCAGGCUUAACACAUGCAAGUCGAACGGUAACAGGAAGAAGCUUGCUUCUUUGCUGACGAGUGGCGGACGGGUGAGUAAUGUCUGGGAAACUGCCUGAUGGAGGGGGAUAACUACUGGAAACGGUAGCUAAUACCGCAUAACGUCGCAAGACCAAAGAGGGGGACCUUCGGGCCUCUUGCCAUCGGAUGUGCCCAGAUGGGAUUAGCUAGUAGGUGGGGUAACGGCUCACCUAGGCGACGAUCCCUAGCUGGUCUGAGAGGAUGACCAGCCACACUGGAACUGAGACACGGUCCAGACUCCUACGGGAGGCAGCAGUGGGGAAUAUUGCACAAUGGGCGCAAGCCUGAUGCAGCCAUGCCGCGUGUAUGAAGAAGGCCUUCGGGUUGUAAAGUACUUUCAGCGGGGAGGAAGGGAGUAAAGUUAAUACCUUUGCUCAUUGACGUUA